GGUGGGAUGCCCGAGUGGCCAAAGGGAACGCGCUGUAAACGCGUCGGCUCAGCCUUCGAAGGUUCGAAUCCUUCUCCCACCACCA
rnacentral:tRNA from 2 species